rnacentral:tRNA from 1 species
GUCAGUUUGGCCGAGUGGUCUAAGGCGCCAGACUCAAGUUCUGGUGGAGAAUCCGCGUGGGUUCGAACCCCACAGCUGACA